rnacentral:rRNA from 1 species
CACUCCUGGCGGGAGGCAGCAGUGGGGAAUUUUGGACAAUGGGCGAAAGCCUGAUCCAGCAAUGCCGCGUGUGUGAAGAAGGCCUUCGGGUUGUAAAGCACUUUUGUCCGGAAAGAAAUCCUUGGCUCUAAUACAGUCGGGGGAUGACGGUACCGGAAGAAUAAGCACCGGCUAACUACGUGCCAGCAGCCGCGGUAAUACGUAGGGUGCGAGCGUUAAUCGGAAUUACUGGGCGUAAAGCGUGCGCAGGCGGUUUGCUAAGACCGAUGUGAAAUCCCCGGGCUCAACCUGGGAACUGCAUUGGUGACUGGCAGGCUAGAGUAUGGCAGAGGGGGGUAGAAUUCCACGUGUAGCAGUGAAAUGCGUAGAGAUGUGGAGGAAUACCGAUGGCGAAGGCAGCCCCCUGGGCCAAUACUGACGCUCAUGCACGAAAGCGUGGGGAGCAAACAGGAUUAGAUACCCUGGUAGUCCCA